GCUGAAAAGGAAACAGAAUUUUAAGCAUGCAUAUAACUCGGACGAGAAAUUGAUGGGAGUCGGCUGUGGAUGACUUGAAUGAGAUGCAUGCAGCUCCAACAUGCAAUGCACGGGCAGAACGAACGUCUUAAUCCCCGAUCGCUAACACCCAGCAUUAACAUAUGGGAGCAGAGAGAGCGGGUUUCCCAACACUGUUGAUAUUGUGGCAUGGUGUAAGGCUGUCUAAAGAGAAGACUCUUCUGACUUACCAGCAAAUUAGCCUAAUUGUCUUAGAUCUCUCCGCGGGGUUCGCACCAUGAACGGAUGUGUUUUCAGUCUUGAGGAUAAAACAAACUGUUUGUGUUUGGGGGGUUCACCUGUUGCCACACUUGCCCCACUCGUUAGUGUUUUGUGACGGGGGAGAAGACAGCUUAUUGCUGCAAGAUGGAGUCCCUGCAAUGCCUUUGUGAAACAGUUUUAGAAGACACAAGCACCUGGGAGCGAGACGACGUGUUGUGAUUAGGCCACUUAACAUGGCCGCUGAACUGCGAUGGCGGGUAUAAGCGCUGGAAGAGAUAGAGAAGCGCGACCAAUGAUCGUAUCAUCAUAUACGAUGAAAAACAAUAUUCCUAAAACAUCUGAUGCAUUUCUUGUAUGGAUCUAAUUACUUUCGAUAAAUAGGCCUCACGCCCAUUGUACAUGUGUAAAAACAAUACACCUUACCGCGUAAAUGU